AUUACCAUUAAAGAGCAACAAUAUUUUCAUGUGUGUGGUAUUUCAGAUCAGCCCUUCAGCUGCAUUAUCGAGAAUCAUGCUUGCCGGCAGUUUACAACACAGAGUUCGCCAGAGGAUCAAGGAAGACAUUGCUGCUUCCAGAGCCAGAAUAGCAAACACGUCAAUUAUUCCACAGAGGAAUGUUGUUAGGGCUGAUGUGAUGGUAGCACCUCUUGAUGUCAUUAAUGACAUCAUUCAGACAUAUAACUAGGGCUAUCUCUACAAUUGUGCUUACAUUGUACUCAACUUCUCUCGAGUCACUUCAGGGAAGUAUGAGUUAGAUGCAGCGAGUGGUUCACUCUAUUAACCUCCGUGUGGAGCAGUGCCAGCUGGAUAUUCAAGAGUGUCUCCAACACCAUCAUUCGGCUCAUGAUAAUGAGGAUCAUCCUACCCUUGCUAAGGACGAUUGGUUAUUUUUUGUUUGGUGUUUUGUUUAGCUUAUUUUGAGACAUUUUUUUUUAUUAUUUUCCUUUCUUGGAUUAUUGUAAUAUUUUUAUAACUCUGGAUUAAUUUACUCUGUUUACCCUUGUCUUGCUGAGACAUUAAGGGGGAGUAAUUUUUAUUGUUGGUUUUUAUAUGCUCUAUUUUACCUUUUAUCAUUUUGAGACAAAAAUAGAGAGUAUUUUUU